UCCUCACUGAUAUUUCUCCAUGGGUGAGGCUGAUGAUCUGAAAAUUGCUGUGAAGAGCACUAAGAAGCUUUGUAUUGUUAUGAUUGAUAACGUGGGAUCUGAGUUGCAAGUUAUCAACAACUGUGAGAAAGCUAUUACUCUUAAAGUGGAUGUACUUGUGGCUUUGACACUGAAUCAAGAUCAAAAAGAAGCCUCUUCUAUAGUCUUUCCCAUUAUUUAAUGCAGUGAAGAAAGGAGAUGCUAUCUUUGUUGGGCAAUACAUAUUCACUGGUACUGAAACAACUUCAGUUUUGCUUGAGAAAGUUUACAUAAAUUAUUGGCUCUUCAUUUUAAUGGUUGAAGCAAUUCCAUGACCACAGUCAUGGAGACUGAGGAUGAAGAAAUCUCUUAGAUCACAAAUAGUUCUGCUGUUCAUCUGGAGAUGGGGCAGAUCAUGAUACGGGAUGGUGAUGAAGCUGCGGCUCAGGAGGAUGAGAUGGUCGGGAACGAGCCUGAGGUAGAGAAGAAAAUGGAACCGGAGACGGAGUUUGAAAAACAGAAGGAGAAUAAGGAGAAGAAGCACUAACAAGGAGAGAGAGAUACGGAAACAGCAAGAGGUGAAGCGGUUUAAGAGCGAGGCUGCUGAGGCAGAGAGGAAGCGCAUAGAAGAAUAAGAAAGAGGGUCGGGAGAGCGCAGAGCGUGAACCUGCAGAGAGCUCUGCUCGACUGAGAAUGAGCCAAGAGAAAGUACUUCCUCUUGACAGAACUGAGAAAGGACCUGAUGCUACAAGAGUCAGCAGAUGUUAGUUGAUUCUUUGUCGUGCUAGAUGAAUUCUUUGGAAAUUUUUUUGAAUCAGCAUAAACAUUAUGCAUUACAUUAUACAUAGAUGAAUUAAU